GCUUCGGUUUUUUUCUCUCUCUCUGCCGGAUCGUCUCUGAGGCAGCGGUGUGCUCGUUUCCUGCUGCAGAUUAUGCCGAUUUUCGUCUGAGAGGGCCAGAUAUUCCAAGUCUAAGUCGCUUUUAUUGUUAGGGCAGAGAGUGGAGCCUUUCCUUUUUGCCGUGGCAGAUGAGCGGACCGUGGGUUCACAACAGAAGCGGAGGAGAACCGGGAUCCUGGACUGAUGAGAGCGUGUAUUGUACCCUGUACCUGGAGUGUGUGUGUACAUGAACUGUGAGCCUCUGGCCGGGUCUUUUGGUAUUCCCCUUUGUAUGGAUUCCUGUGUCAAUCUGCAAGACAUCUUCUUCUACUGGGGAUUCUUCCGGUCUCUGUAAAGCGACCUAGAACUUCUGACUACUGGUCCACAAGAGCAUGGCUGGACAGCAGCAGGAUGGUUCCUCAGCUUCCGCUGCACAGACUGACACAGUGAGAUGGAUGUUCAGGAAACACCAGAGCUUCAUUCUGUGGAAUCCAUGUGCAACUGUAUAAUUGAAUGUCCUCUAUGUAUUCCCAGUUAUCAGUAAAACAGAUUUACAAACUGCAUUUGCUGAGAAAAAUCCAAAAAACAGAUUAGGAGGGCAGAUCUGGAAAUUGAAAUACUGGAGCACAAGUUAGAGGUGGUGAUGGUCACAGGUGAAUUAUGUUAACUACUGGAACAUGAACUGAACUAUCUUUUAUUUGUAGGAAAUAAAGAAGAGCAAAUGAAA